rnacentral:rRNA from 1 species
UACGUAGGGUGCAAGCGUUGUCCGGAAUUAUUGGGCGUAAAGAGCUCGUAGGCGGUUUGUUGCGUCGGCUGUGAAAUCCCGAGGCUCAACCUCGGGUCUGCAGUCGAUACGAGCAAACUAGAGUGUUGCAGGGGAGACUGGAAUUCCUGGUGUAGCGGUGAAAUGCGCAGAUAUCAGGAGGAACACCCGGUGGGCGAAGGCGGGG